rnacentral:rRNA from 1 species
GGCCAGGCUGUCUCCACCCGAGACUCAGUGAAAUUGAACUCGCUGUGAAGAUGCAGUGUACCCGCGGCAAGACGGAAAGACCCCGUGAACCUUUACUAUAGCUUGACACUGAACAUUGAGCCUUGAUGUGUAGGAUAGGUGGGAGGCUUUGAAGUGUGGACGCCAGUCUGCAUGGAGCCGACCUUGAAAUACCACCCUUUAAUGUUUGAUGUUCUAACGUGGACCCGUGAUCCGGGUUGCGGACAGUGUCUGGUGGGUAGUUUGACUGGGGCGGUCUCCUCCUAAAGAGUAACGGAGGAGCACGAAGGUUGGCUAAUCCUGGUCGGACAUCAGGAGGUUAGUGCAAUGGCAUAAGCCAGCUUGACUGCGAGCGUGACGGCGCGAGCAGGUGCGAAAGCAGGUCAUAGUGAUCCGGUGGUUCUGAAUGGAAGGGCCAUCGCUCAACGGAUAAAAGGUACUCCGGGGAUAACAGGCUGAUACCGCCCAAGAGUUCAUAUCGACGGCGGUGUUUGGCACCUCGAUGUCGGCUCAUCACAUCCUGGGGCUGAAGUAGGUCCCAAGGGUAUGGCUGUUCGCCAUUUAAAGUGGUACGCGAGCUGGGUUUAGAACGUCGUGAGACAGUUCGGUCCCUAUCUGCCGUGGGCGCUGGAGAACUGAGGGGGGCUGCUCCUAGUACGAGAGGACCGGAGUGGACGCAUCACUGGUGUUCGGGUUGUCAUGCCAAUGGCACUGCCCGGUAGCUAAAUGCGGAAGAGAUAAGUGCUGAAAGCAUCUAAGCACGAAACUUGCCCCGA